UACGUAGGGUGCGAGCGUUAAUCGGAAUUACUGGGCGUAAAGCGUGCGCAGGCGGUUGUGCAAGACAGAUGUGAAAUCCCGGGCUUACCUGGACUGCAUUGUGACUGCACGGCUAGAGUGUGUCAGAGGGGGGUAGGAAUUCCACGUGUAGCAGUGAAAUGCGUAGAUAUCGAGAGGAAUACCAACGGCGAAGGCAGCACUCUGGGCAGUUUCUGACACUGAGGCACGAAGGCUAGGGGAGCAAAC
rnacentral:rRNA from 1 species